rnacentral:rRNA from 1 species
GACGAACGCUGGCGGCGUGCUUAACACAUGGAAGUCGAACGGAAAGGCCCUGCUUUUGUGGGGUGCUCGAGUGGCGAACGGGUGAGUAACACGUGAGUAACCUGCCCUUGACUUUGGGAUAACUUCAGGAAACUGGGGCUAAUACCGGAUAGGAGCUCCUGCUGCAUGGUGGGGGUUGGAAAGUUUCGGCGGUUGGGGAUGGACUCGCGGCUUAUCAGCUUGUUGGUGGGGUAGUGGCUUACCAAGGCUUUGACGGGUAGCCGGCCUGAGAGGGUGACCGGCCACAUUGGGACUGAGACACGGCCCAGACUCCUACGGGAGGCAGCAGUGGGGAAUAUUGCACAAUGGGCGGAAGCCUGAUGCAGCAACGCCGCGUGCGGGAUGACGGCCUUCGGGUUGUAAACCGCUUUCGCCAGUGACGAAGCGUGAGUGACGGUAAUGGGUAAAGAAGCACCGGCUAACUACGUG